AAUGCGACGUCUCAAGACGCGUCGCCAACCCAUUUUUUUUUCUUUCAAUUAAGUACAUGCGGAAGCGAAUUAAAUACAACACCCAAUUAACAAAUAAACAUAGGGAUAGUAAAACAUGAUUGUGAUUUUCCCAUAAAAUCCAUGACCUAUUUAUCCAUUGUUGUCCCUAGGAAAUUUAAUGAUUCACAAGUCCUUACAUUAGCAACUUCCAACUGACCCUCUCAAAAUCCUCAGGGAUCAAGGUUACCCUAAACUUCACUAAUUGCAGGGCCAGCCAAAAGGUGUCACAUCUCGCGCCCACCACAUCCGCACUCAGCAGAUCUCCACGCUACGGCCUUGAAAAAGAUUAGCUCACGACGGGGUGAGAUAAAAUCUCAGCGAGUCAAAACCUAAGCCUCAAUUAGGAUGCAAAUUCGCCUCGAAGGUGGUCCUAAGCACACACCAUAUAGAGCUUACCUUGCCUCAGCGCAUACCUACACAUUAGCUCAACAUAUAUACCAUCAUCAGUGCAACAAGCGUAGUUUAAUAACCGGAACACAUCAUUUCAAUCACAUGGGUCCCGAUUAUAAGACUAAAUCGUUAUAACACGUCCUAUACCGUGCCACACAAUUUUGUCCCACAACUAUCACAACCACUCAGGCGUGUUCCAGUUAUUACGACCCAUUGGCCACGUCCAACUCAACAAUCAGUGGUCAUUAAGCAUAACCGGGCGUCGUCUCGUCUCAUCUAGCAUGGCAUUGUCCAGAACCCCCGCCUAGACGGCAUUUCACAUAAGAGCAUCAUUUUGAAAUCCAUCCACGAAUGACAUCGUCCAAAACCCCCGCCUAGACAACUUCACACAAGAGCAUCAUCCCGUGUAUUCAUACGCAUCAGGACAGGUUCACUCAGUGACCACACGAGCACAUACUUGGCCAAGAGCACCAUGCUUUGCGUUCAAAUAUCUCGUUUUCAAAUAAUGAACUUGGCCGCUUUUCUUUGUAUUAAAAAUCUCGAUAAACAUAAUCGUGCGUGGUCACGUAAUUAAAAGCGAACCGUCAAACAUGGUAUGCUCCUAUUUUGAAAUUCCAUGAUUUAUAUAGUACAUAAGAAUUGGCGUCCAAGAACUGACACCUGGCAUUUUUCCAUUCAAAAACCCAUAAAACCGAGCUUUCUACUAAAAUUCAAUAACUACCAUCAAUAUCACGCAUAAUGCUAUCAUAUAGCUAAGAAUACCAAAAAUCCCUUUUCAAAAAUCAACUUAGCAACUCUCUUUUUUUUCUUUAAAGCUUUCGGAAAUAAAUUUGUACAGGUUUACGUAUUUGAAAUUAACUUAUCAAACUUUGCAUGCAUCUAGUAUAAAACCUCCUCGUUUUAUUGAACACAUAAAAUUUGGCGUCCAAACCCGACACCUCAUUUAUUUUCUAUUUUCUUUUCCAACCACUUCUUUUUUAAAACAAUCUUUAGUAACCCUUUUUUUUGUUCAAAACUUUUAGAAAUAAAUUCAUAGGUGCUCACGUACUCAAAAUUAAUCCGUCAAACAUUGCACGCACUUAGUUUAAAACCUCAUUGUUUUAUUGGGCAAAUAAGUUUUGGUGUCCAAACCUGAUACCUAAAUUUUCUUUCCGUUUAAAGGCCCAAAGGCCAUCUCUUGCAAUAACAAUAAACAACCACCAUAGAACAACCAUUCACAUAUCAUCAUGCAUAAAUUCUAAGCAUGCCAAAAGUCAACCACAUCACCAAAUAUGCAUUGUCCAACAAGCACAAGGGAUUUCACUCACUAUUCACAUUCAAAAGAGCCGGGAAUCUACAAAAACAUUCUUGGAGAGGGCUCGUAAUGAAGAGGAAGCAAAAAAUGGGAGCACUCUUGCAUUUUGUCUAUUCGGGACGAGGCAAGCAGCCCACAUACAUCUCCGCCCCCCUUACUCAACCUCUGUAAAAGAAGCCAAAGCUUAAUGAUCCAAACAUAGAAGUUGUCAGCAAACACCAAGAACAACAACAAAACCACAAUCAGUCCUAACCGGCAGAAACCGGGCCACUCGCGCGUCUCCAAGUUUAAUUCCAUAAUCAUAACCAAAUGAACUCAGAAAAUUAUCAAAUUUGAAUAUGUUAUAAAAGACACUUAAACAAAAACAAAAAAAUUGUGAAGACACCUUGACCUAGAUCUUUCUAGAAUGAGAGCAGUAAAUCGCCCAAACCGUUACAAAAACUGUAUCCGUGUCUAGAAAUUCUGUUUUGCAAAUUUAGUUUAAUUUGAGGUCCGAAACUUGUCUAUUUGAUCUAAAAUUUGAUUAUAUUAAACUACAAGAUGUGAUGAACAACUUUUUUGAAGAAAAUCUUUUGAAAAUCAAACCCUAAGAGUUGAUAAAAAUCUUUUGAACACCAAAAGGUCAUUGUUUCCAGCACAAUCCGAGAUUCUGUUUUGCAAAUAACAAGGCUAAAAUCUCAUUCUUUUAAAUCCAUAAAAUCUUGAGUAAAAUAUAUGUCAUAGCUAAAGAUGUUUAGAAUAUUUCUCAAGAGAAAGCAACCUCAAAAUCAUAGCAUAUGUUUCUCCACAAAAAUGCCAAGCGGCGAGCAUCCAACAAACUGAUCCAGGAUAAGUCCACUAAACCAAGCUAAAUCACCCUCAUUAGUACUAAUUCAACCAACUAGAUUAAUAUUAAUCUAUCAUAAGGCUGAUAUAACCAAAAUAGAUUAAUAAUAAUCCAUAUUAAGGUUAAUUCACUUAAUACUAAUUUAACUAAGCUAAUUGACACUAAUCUAACCCCUAAGUGUAAUUAACAACAUAAUCCAGGAUUAAGGAGUUAACUCAUUGGAUUAGGACGGUGGUAUGCUCAUGGCGAUGGUGGCGCAAUGGCAGUGAGAACCCAAGACUACUGCAUCUCCAACGGAGACUCAACGGAGGUUGAAAAGGCCAGGUGAAGUUCACGGCCAAAGCUGGAUUCGGUUCUAUUUGAGGCUGAGUUGCUGGGCUUUGGUGGCUGCUGGCGGGCUAGCUGAGGUGGCGCUGCUAGCCAGGUGAAGCUGCAGCUGCCUUGGCUGCUCGGUGGUGAGGUGAUGGAGUGUUGGUGAUGGGUGAAGUGAGGGUGAUGUUGGCGGCAACAGAAAUGAAAGGGAGAUGGAGCUAAGGAAAAACUGAAAUGAGGGGUUGCUUGACGUGUGGACUUCUGGUGGUGGGUGGAGUGGUGGCCACGAAGAAGAAGGGACUCUGGAGAGAAGAAAUGAGAUGAAGGGGACGUGAGCAAGAAGAAAAAGAAAUCAGUAGAAGGAUGGGGGAGCUUCUUGCUUGUGUGAGAUAGAGAGAAAGAGAAAGAGAGGGAGGGAAGAAAGUCCAAG
rnacentral:lncRNA from 1 species